rnacentral:rRNA from 1 species
AGAGUUUGAUCAUGGCUCAGAUUGAACGCUGGCGGCAGGCCUAACACAUGCAAGUCGAACGGUAACAGGAAGCAGCUUGCUGCUUCGCUGACGAGUGGCGGACGGGUGAGUAAUGUCUGGGAAGCUGCCUGAUGGAGGGGGAUAACUACUGGAAACGGUAGCUAAUACCGCAUAAUGUCGCAAGACCAAAGAGGGGGACCUUCGGGCCUCUUGCCAUCGGAUGUGCCCAGAUGGGAUUAGCUUGUUGGUGGGGUAACGGCUCACCAAGGCGACGAUCCCUAGCUGGUCUGAGAGGGUGACCAGCCACACUGGAACUGAGACACGGUCCAGACUCCUACGGGAGGCAGCAGUGGGGAAUAUUGCACAAUGGGCGCAAGCCUGAUGCAGCCAUGCCGCGUGUAUGAAGAAGGCCUUCGGGUUGUAAAGUACUUUCAGCGGGGAGGAAGGGAGUAAAGUUAAUACCUUUGCUCAUUGACGUUACCCGCAGAAGAAGCACCGGCUAACUCCGUGCCAGCAGCCGCGGUAAUACGGAGGGUGCAAGCGUUAAUCGGAAUUACUGGGCGUAAAGCGCACGCAGGCGGUUUGUUAAGUCAGAUGUGAAAUCCCCGGGCUCAACCUGGGAACUGCAUCUGAUACUGGCAAGCUUGAGUCUCGUAGAGGGGGGUAGAAUUCCAGGUGUAGCGGUGAAAUGCGUAGAGAUCUGGAGGAAUACCGGUGGCGAAGGCGGCCCCCUGGACGAAGACUGACGCUCAGGUGCGAAAGCGUGGGGAGCAAACAGGAUUAGAUACCCUGGUAGUCCACGCCGUAAACGAUGUCGACUUGGAGGUUGUGCCCUUGAGGCGUGGCUUCCGGAGCUAACGCGUUAAGUCGACCGCCUGGGGAGUACGGCCGCAAGGUUAAAACUCAAAUGAAUUGACGGGGGCCCGCACAAGCGGUGGAGCAUGUGGUUUAAUUCGAUGCAACGCGAAGAACCUUACCUGGUCUUGACAUCCACGGAAGUUUUCAGAGAUGAGAAUGUGCCUUCGGGAACCGUGAGACAGGUGCUGCAUGGCUGUCGUCAGCUCGUGUUGUGAAAUGUUGGGUUAAGUCCCGCAACGAGCGCAACCCUUAUCCUUUGUUGCCAGCGGUCCGGCCGGGAACUCAAAGGAGACUGCCAGUGAUAAACUGGAGGAAGGUGGGGAUGACGUCAAGUCAUCAUGGCCCUUACGACCAGGGCUACACACGUGCUACAAUGGCGCAUACAAAGAGAAGCGACCUCGCGAGAGCAAGCGGACCUCAUAAAGUGCGUCGUAGUCCGGAUUGUAGUCUGCAACUCGACUCCAUGAAGUCGGAAUCGCUAGUAAUCGUGGAUCAGAAUGCCACGGUGAAUACGUUCCCGGGCCUUGUACACACCGCCCGUCACACCAUGGGAGUGGGUUGCAAAAGAAGUAGGUAGCUUAACCUUCGGGAGGGCGCUUACCACUUUGUGAUUCAUGACUGGGGUGAAGUCGGAACAAGGUA